AGACUGAGGGAGAGAGAAAGAGGAGGGGAGGAGGAGGAGGAUUCAGGGAAUAGGAGCUGGGGAGCCCUUCUGCGCCACAGUGAUAUCAGUAUCAAGAUAAAAGUUUGGAAUGGGAGAAAAAUUCUCAAAGCCUGAAAGAAAAUCUGAGAUGCUUGGAGUGUAAAGAUCCCAUGGUCACAUAAAUCCGGAAAGCACUGAAUACUUUGUUUCCCAUAAGAGAAUCCCAUUAUAUGUUGAUGUAUUAAAAGACCUGAGAACCUGGUGAGGGAGCCUGCGAGCAAACGAGGUGGGAACUGGAGUGCACAAGUGCUGGAAUGAGCUGACUGCCCUCCACCCCUCAUGGGAGGGAGCGCGCGUAGUUACUUUUGGUGACACUAUCCAGUUCCCACAAUGUAUCAUUCCUUAACUGAAACUAGACAUCCUCUGCAGCCAGAAGAACAAGAAGUAGGCAUUGACCCCUUGUCCAGUUACUCUAACAAGUCUGGAGGAGAUUCAAAUAAAAAUGGAAGAAGAACAAGUUCUACUUUAGACUCUGAAGGGACUUUUAAUUCCUAUAGGAAAGAAUGGGAAGAACUAUUUGUAAACAACAAUUACUUGGCAACAAUAAGGCAGAAGGGGAUUAAUGGGCAGCUGAGAAGCAGCAGGUUCCGCAGCAUUUGCUGGAAG
rnacentral:sRNA from 1 species